rnacentral:rRNA from 1 species
UGGGGAAUAUUGGACAAUGGGCGAAAGCCUGAUCCAGCCAUGCCGCGUGUGUGAAGAAGGUCUUCGGAUUGUAAAGCACUUUAAGUUGGGAGGAAGGGCAGUAAGCGAAUACCUUGCUGUUUUGACGUUACCGACAGAAUAAGCACCGGCUAACUCUGUGCCAGCAGCCGCGGUAAUACAGAGGGUGCAAGCGUUAAUCGGAAUUACUGGGCGUAAAGCGCGCGUAGGUGGUUCGUUAAGUUGAAUGUGAAAGCCCCGGGCUCAACCUGGGAACUGCAUCCAAAACUGGCGGGCUAGAGUAGGGCAGAGGGUGGUGGAAUUUCCUGUGUAGCGGUGAAAUGCGUAGAUAUAGGAAGGAACACCAGUGGCGAAGGCGACCACCUGGGCUCAUACUGACACUGGGGUGCGAAAGCGUGGGGAGCAAACAGG